AUUUCCGUUGGUGAUGAGGCUCACCCGAAACCGUCCUUUGACUGAUAGCCUCUACUGAAUU
rnacentral:ncRNA from 1 species